rnacentral:rRNA from 1 species
AAUACAGAGGGUGCGAGCGUUAAUCGGAAUUACUGGGCGUAAAGCGUGCGUAGAUGGUUAUGUAAGUCGGAUGUGAAAGCCCAGGGCUCAACCUUGGAAUUGCAUUCGAGACUGCAUAGCUAGGAUGCGGAAGAGGGAAGCGGAAUUUCCGGUGUAGCGGUGAAAUGCGUAGAUAUCGGAAGGAACACCAGUGGCGAAAGCGGCUUCCUGGUCCAGCAUCGACGUUCAGGCACGAAAGCGUGGGGAGCAAACAG